UCUAGAAUGAGAUUGGAAGAGAUCAUUAUCCUGUUUACAAAUGAGAAACAGAUAUAGGUGUGAAGAGGCCUGGCAACAGCCAUUUAGCAAAUGGAAAGUCCAACCAAAGAUGGGCCUGAUUUCUCAUGCCUCUUAUUAUCCUGGACGAGACCAUGAGGACCACCAAGACACUCAGAAGAGGCACUUGGUCUUUCCCAGACUAGAUUGAUUGCCCUGUCUCUUUCGUCUGUGUGUUCUUCCAUUUCCCACCGUCAACAACAUCCCACCCAACAAGCCACUCCACCUAGAAACCAUUGCAUUGCCAUGUGAAGAACCCAGGCUCACAGACUACGUAUGUAAACGGG
rnacentral:lncRNA from 1 species